GACGAACGCUGGUGGCGUGCUUAACACAUGCAAGUCGAACGGGAUUUAGUAAACAGAAGCCUCGGUGGAAGAUUACUAAUGAGAGUGGCGAACGGGUGAGUAACGCGUGAGCAACCUGCCUAUGACAGUGGGAUAGCCUCGGGAAACCGGGAUUAAUACCGCAUAAAAUCGUAGAAACACAUGUUUUAACGGUCAAAGAUUUAUCGGUCAUAGAUGGGCUCGCGUCUGAUUAGCUAGUUGGUGAGAUAACAGCCCACCAAGGCGACGAUCAGUAGCCGGUCUGAGAGGAUGAACGGCCACAUUGGGACUGAGACACGGUCCAAACUCCUACGGGAGGCAGCAGUGGGGAAUAUUGCACAAUGGGGGAAACCCUGAUGCAGCGACGCCGCGUGAACGAAGAAGGUAUUCGUAUCGUAAAGUUCUGUCCUAUGGGAAGAUAAUGACAGUACCAUAGAAGAAAGCUCCGGCUAAAUACGUG
rnacentral:rRNA from 1 species